rnacentral:rRNA from 1 species
ACUCAAAUGAAUUGACGGGGGCCCGCACAAGCAGCGGAGCAUGUGGUUUAAUUCGAAGCAACGCGAAGAACCUUACCUAGACUUGACAUCUCCUGAAUUACCUGUAAUAAGGGAAGCCCUUCGGGGCAGGAAGACAGGUGGUGCAUGGUUGUCGUCAGCUCGUGUCGUGAGAUGUUGGGUUAAGUCCCGCAACGAGCGCAACCCUUAUCAUUAGUUGCUACCAUUAAGUUGAGCACUCUAGUGAGACUGCCCGGGUUAACCGGGAGGAAGGUGGGGAUGACGUCAAAUCAUCAUGCCCCUUAUGUCUAGGGCUACACACGUGCUACAAUGGUGAGUACAACAAGAUGCAAGACCGUGAGGUGGAGCCAAACUGUAAAACUCAUCCCAGUUCGGAUUGAAGGCUGAAACUCGCCUUCAUGAAGCCGGAGUUGCUAGUAAUCGCGAAUCAGCAUGUCGCGGUGAAUACGUUCCCGGGCCUUGUACACACCGCCCGU